rnacentral:rRNA from 1 species
GAGUUUGAUCCUGGCUCAGGAUGAACGCUGGCGGCAUGCCUAAUACAUGCAAGUCAUACGGAUAGCCCCAAAAUCAUGAAGUAGCUUGCUACAGAUUGUGCUUGGAUUUUGCUAUCAGUGGCGAACGGGUGAGUAACACGUGGGCAACCUGCCCUAUGGUUUGGGAUAACUAUUAGAAAUGAUAGCUAAUACCGAAUAGUAGAUUUUAUCGCAUGAUUUAAUCUUUAAAGGCGCGUUUGCGUCGCCACAGGAUGGGCCCGCGGUGUAUUAGUUAGUUGGUGAGGUAAUGGCUCACCAAGACAAUGAUACAUAGCCGGACUGAGAGGUUGAACGGCCACACUGGAACUGAGACACGGUCCAGACGACUACGGUCGGCAGCAGUAGGGAAUUUUUCGCAAUGGACGAAAGUCUGACGGAGCAAUGCCGCGUGAGUGAUGAAGGUUUUCGGAUCGUAAAACUCUGUUGUGAGGGAAGAAUAAGUAGAUUAGGAAAUGAAUCUACCUUGACGGUACCUUGCCAGAAAGCCACGGCUAACUACGUGCCAGCAGCCGCGGUAAU